CACGCCGUAAACGAUGGAUGCUAGAUGUCGGGGGGUUGCCCUCGGUGUCGUAGUUAACGCGUUAAGCAUCCCGCCUGGGGAGUACGGUCGCAAGGCUGAAACUCAAAGAAAUUGACGGGGGCCCGCACAAGCGGUGGAGUAUGUGGUUUAAUUCGACGCAACGCGAAGAACCUUACCAAGGCUUGACAUUGAGUGAAAGGCUAAGAGAUUAGCCCCUCUCUUCGGAGACACGAAAACAGGUGG
rnacentral:rRNA from 1 species